CUAACAGCCGAGCUUUGAGCCCAAGAGGCGUAACGGCCUCACACAGUCAGAUCUGUAUUACUCAGAUCUGAGUAAUAUGUUUUAUAUAAGAGGCAUAG
rnacentral:sRNA from 1 species